UACGUAGGGUGCAAGCGUUGUCCGGAAUUAUUGGGCGUAAAGAGCUCGUAGGCGGUGUGUCACGUCGGCCGUGAAAACCUGGGGCUUAACUCCGGGCUUGCAGCCGAUACGGGCAGACUAGAGUUCGGCAGGGGAGACUGGAAUUCCUGGUGUAGCGGUGAAAUGCGCAGAUAUCAGGAGGAACACCGGUGGCGAAGGCGGGUCUCUGGGCCGAAACUGACGCUGAGGAGCGAAAGCGUGGGGAGCAAACAGG
rnacentral:rRNA from 1 species